rnacentral:misc_RNA from 1 species
CAACCCUCGAGCCCGUCUCGGUGUUGGGGGCCCCACGGCCGCGAGGCCGCCCCCGAAAUGCAUUGGCGACCCCGCCGCGGCCUCCCCUGCGCAGUAGCUCCCAGAGAACCUCGCACCGGAAACGCGGAGGCGGUCACGCCGUAAAACAACUCUCCUCCUGGAAG